rnacentral:rRNA from 1 species
UACGAAAGGGGCUAGCGUUGUUCGGAAUUAAUGGGCGUAAAGCGCACGUAGGCGGCCUGCCAAGUUAGGGGUGAAAGCCCAGAGCUCAACUCUGGAAUUGCCUCUAAAACUGUAAGCUCGAGGAUGUGAGAGGUGAGUGGAAUUCCGAGUGUAGAGGUGAAAUUCGUAGAAAUUGGGAAGAACCCCGGUGGCGAAGGCGACUCGCUUGCACAUUUCUGACGCUGAGGUGCGAAAGCGUGGGGAGCAAACAGG